CCUACGGGAGGCUGCAGUGGGGAAUAUUGCACAAUGGGCGCAAGCCUGAUGCAGCCAUGCCGCGUGUGUGAAGAAGGCCUUCGGGUUGUAAAGCACUUUCAGCGGGGAGGAAGGCGGUGAGGUUAAUAACCUCAUCGAUUGACGUUACCCGCAGAAGAAGCACCGGCUAACUCCGUGCCAGCAGCCGCGGUAAUACGGAGGGCGCAAGCGUUAAUCGGAAUUACUGGGCGUAAAGCGCACGCAGGCGGUCUGUCAAGUCGGAUGUGAAAUCCCCGGGCUCAACCUGGGAACUGCAUUCGAAACUGGCAGGCUAGAGUCUUGUAGAGGGGGGUAGAAUUCCAGGUGUAGCGGUGAAAUGCGUAGAGAUCUGGAGGAAUACCGGUGGCGAAGGCGGCCCCCUGGACAAAGACUGACGCUCAGGUGCGAAAGCGUGGGGAGCAAACAGGAUUAGAUACCCUUGUAGUC
rnacentral:rRNA from 1 species